AUUGAACGCUGGCGGCAUGCCUUACACAUGCAAGUCGAACGGCAGCACGGACUUCGGUCUGGUGGCGAGUGGCGAACGGGUGAGUAAUGUAUCGGAACGUACCUUUCAGUGGGGGAUAACGUAGCGAAAGUUACGCUAAUACCGCAUAUUCUGUGAGCAGGAAAGCAGGGGAUCGCAAGACCUUGCGCUGAUUGAGCGGCCGAUAUCAGAUUAGCUAGUUGGUGGGGUAAAGGCCUACCAAGGCUACGAUCUGUAGCGGGUCUGAGAGGAUGAUCCGCCACACUGGAACUGAGACACGGUCCAGACUCCUACGGGAGGCAGCAGUGGGGAAUUUUGGACAAUGGGGGCAACCCUGAUCCAGCCAUGCCGCGUGAGUGAAGAAGGCCUCGGGUUGUAAAGCUACUUUCUAGCCGGGAAGGAAAUCGCAUCAGCUAAUACCU
rnacentral:rRNA from 1 species